rnacentral:lncRNA from 1 species
AAGCAGGCUGCCUGAGCUUGCGGUGGCAACCUGCUUGGGAACCCUGUUACACUGUGGAAGCUUUGUUCUUUUGCUCUUUGCAGUAAAUCUUGCUGCUGCUCACUCUUUGGGUCCACACUGCUUUUAUGAGCUGUGACACUCACCGUGAAGGUCUGUAGCUUCACUCUUGAAGCCAGCGAGACCACGAACCCACUGGGAGGAGAGAACAACUCCAGACGUGCCACCUUAAGAGCUGUAACACUCACUGCGAAGGUCUGCAGCUUCACUCCUGAGCCAGCAAGACCACGAACCCACCAGAAGAGCGAACACAUCCGAACAUCAGAAGGAACAAACUCCGGACACGCCACCUUUAAGAACUGUAACACUCACCACGAGGGUCUGCGGCUUCAUUCUUGAAGUCAGUGAGACCAAGAACCCACCAAUUCCAGACACAUCCUUAUUGCCUUCAUGUCUUGAUGCCCCGAGAGCAUAACAGCUCGGGGCAUGCCACGGGUGCGUGGGGAGAUAACACUCCCUUGAAGUACUGGAGUAUAAUCAAACAACUUGGCUCCUGCUGAAACCCGCUCCCACCUGUUUCGGUCCUGAAGGGGACAUUUGGAUACAGACACAGGCAUGAACAGAGGAGAGACCAUGUGAAGAGUCACAGGGAGAAUGCCAUGUGAAGACAGAGGAAUGGAAUUAUCCAUCCACAUGCAAUAAAAUGCCAAAGAUUGCCAGGAAGUCACCAGAAGCUUGGAACAGUCUGAGGGAGUUUCGCUCUUGUUGCCCAGGCUGGAGUCCAGUUGCACGAUCUUGGCUCACUGCAACCUCCGCCUCCCAGGUUCAAGCAAUUCUCCUGCCUCAGCCUCCCAAGUAGCUGGGAUUACAGGCAUGUGCCACCACGUCCAGCUAAUUUUUUUUUUUUUUUUGUAUUUUUACUAGAGAUGGAGUUUAACCAUGUUGAUUCUAAUGUCAGUCUUUAACAUUGACUGUUCUAGUGGGUGUGUAUUGAUAACUCAUUUUUGUCUUAAUUUGCAUUUAUCUCAUGAAUGUCAAUGUUGACUGUAUUUUCU